UGGUGUGGCUCAAUGGCAGAGCAGCUGACUUGUAAUCAGCAGGUUGUAGGUUCGACUCCUAUCACC
rnacentral:tRNA from 1 species